GUCUUACACACUGCUUUUGGAUAACUUUAUGCUGCUUUACUCCUGGUGUAAAAAUUCAAGCAGUUCAGUUUGGUGGUUUGAUGGUUUGUGAUCAUCCAUCUUCCUCUUGAUUAUAUUCCAGAGGUUUUUAAAUUGGUAAAAUCAAAGAAACUCAUCAUUUUUAAGUGAUGUCUUAUUUUUUUCUAGAGCUGUAUAUUAAGUAUCGUAAAAUCACAAUAUCGUGAUAUUGUCAUAUUGUGAGAUUACCUGUUUUUCCCACCACUCAUAACAACCAUUUUUAGCCAAGUUUUGACUGAUCUUCUUGGCAAAUAUCUGAGUUAGCACAUAUAUAUAUUUUUUUAGCAAAUUUGGCCUUUUUUGGUACUUUUACAGAUGGUGCUUCUUUUAUAAAUAUGUUAUGAUGCCACGUACAAAUGAUCAGGGAUUUUGAUAGAGCACAUUUCCUUCUAUUAAUCUUUACUACUUCAUAUAUUUUACCCUAUUUUGACCAGAUUUUUAGAUUUUACACUUUGACUAAUAAUAAAAAUAAAAAAUGCCAUUUAUUUCAAUUCAGGGUGCAAUCCAAACAGAAUUGUGUAUAUUGCUAUAUUUCUUUGCAUGCAUUGGCAGUAUUCUUCUUUUUUUAUAACAAUUGAGCCUAAUUUGUGUUAACUUUUUUAAUUGAUACACAAUAAUAAUUGUUUUCCAGAACUUGCAUUGCAAUGGAUUUAAAAUGAACAGUAGAAAUGCAUUUUAUUUUUUGUUUGUUUUAGGCUAUUAUAACAUUAUUAUAACACUUGUGUCUCUUUUUUUAACUUAUUCGUCUUUAAAAGUCUAAUUAUUUCAUUUAAGCUAAUGAAUAUCAUUCUUUUUUUGUUGUUUUUGUUUGAGAAACUCAUGGUUGCACUUCACAUCUGCAUUUUUAAUAAAUAACAGAAAUAUUACUGAUAUAAGCAUGUGAUUUAUUAUUAUUUCUCUUUAAUCUGAGUCUAAACAGAAUAAUUAUCCAGUUAUGAAAAGCAAGUGUGAUCAUAAAAAGCCUCUGGAUUCAUUAUCUCUCAUAAGCUCUGCAUGGUAUCUCGUUUAUUAUCACUCGUAUUGUCCUUUAAAUCGAUAUUCAGAUGAUCUGAGAUCAGUAAAUGAGCCGUGAGGGGAAUGAUCUCAGCAGAGCUCCAUUAAAGUGAUGGAGAGUUCUUAAAGACGCUGGGUUUUAAACUGACUGAGGCUCUGUUUCUGUGCUGUUCUGAGUUCUGUAUUAGUGAACAGUGUUGUGAGCGAGUGUGAGCAGGACUGCCCUGAUAUCUGAGAAAGUGUAAGAGUCCCGCAGGACCCGUAACUCUCACAACCGAGACCAGCGACGGCGAUCGCUUCAGCAGAUCAUCUGCACGGCUAUAAAUGACUUUACUUCCUCCUUUAUACAGAAUAAUAUGAAGAAUAAACCUCCUGCAAUUCA